rnacentral:rRNA from 1 species
UGUUUCGGCUAGGGGGUCAUCCCGACUUACCAACCCGAUGCAAACUACGAAUACCGAAGAAUGUUAUCACGGGAGACACACGGCGGGUGCUAACGUCCGUCGUGAAGAGGGAAACAACCCAGACCGCCAGCUAAGGUCCCAAAGUCAUGGUUAAGUGGGAAACGAUGUGGGAAGGCACAGACAGCCAGGAUGUUGGCUUAGAAGCAGCCAUCAUUUAAAGAAAGCGUAAUAGCUCACUGGUCGAGUCGGCCUGCGCGGAAGAUGUAACGGGGCUAAACCAUGCACCGAAGCUGCGGCAGCGACACUAUGUGUUGUUGGGUAGGGGAGCGUUCUGUAAGCCUGCGAAGGUGUGCUGUGAGGCAUGCUGGAGGUAUCAGAAGUGCGAAUGCUGACAUAAGUAACGAUAAAGCGGGUGAAAAGCCCGCUCGCCGGAAGACCAAGGGUUCCUGUCCAACGUUAAUCGGGGCAGGGUGAGUCGACCCCUAAGGCGAGGCCGAAAGGCGUAGUCGAUGGGAAACAGGUUAAUAUUCCUGUACUUGGUGUUACUGCGAAGGGGGGACGGAGAAGGCUAUGUUAGCCGGGCGACGGUUGUCCCGGUUUAAGCAUGUAGGCUGGUUAUCCAGGCAA